AGAGUCUGGCUGUGUGCCUAAUACAUGCAUGUCGAGCGAAGUGAUUUAUCACUUAGCGGCGAAUGGGUGAGUAACACGUACUCAACGUACCCUUCAGUUUGGCAUAGCGGUUGGAAACAACCGAUAAUUCCAAAUACUCGUAGAUGCCGCAUGGCAUUUACGGAAAAGACGCCUUAAAGCGUCGCUGGAGGAGCGGGGUGCGCAACAUUAGCUAGUUGGUGAGGUAACGGCCCACCAAGGCGAUGAUGUUUAGCGGGGUUGAGAGACUGAUCCGCCACACUGGGACUGAGAUACGGCCCAGACUCCUACGGGAGGCAGCAGUAGGGAAUAUUCCACAAUGGACGAAAGUCUGAUGGAGCGACACAGCGUGCAGGAUGAAGGCCCUAUGGGUUGUAAACUGCCGUGGUAAGGGAAUAAAAAAUAGUGUAGGAAAUGCCACUAUAUUGAAUGUACCUUAUUAGAAAGCAACGGCUAACUAUGUGCCAGCAGCCGCGGUAAUACAUAGGUUGCAAGCGUUAUCCGGAAUUAUUGGGCGUAAAGCGUCUGUAGGUUGUUUGUUAAGUCUGGCGUUAAAUUUUGGGGCUCAACCCCAAACCGCGUUGGAUACUGGCAAACUAGAGUUAUGUAGAGGUUAGCGGAAUUCCUUGUGAAGCGGUGAAAUGCGUAGAUAUAAGGAAGAACACCAACAUGGCGAANGCAGCUAACUGGACAUACACUGACACUGAGAGACGAAAGCGUGGGGAGCAAACAGGAUUAGAUACCCUGGUAGUCCACGC
rnacentral:rRNA from 1 species